UGUGUUGUUUGAUCUUGGUCAUCUCACUUUCUUAUUUAUCUUGGUAAAAUUCUCCAAAAUUUAGCCAUUUAUCUUCAAUUACCCCUAUAAUGAUCCUUCAGCCAAUCUCUUUCUCAAGGAAUGGUCUUGUCUCUUUAAAGAAAAUUUGAAGGCUGGCUGAGCCCAAUGACACAGUCUGUGGAAACAAACUGAACUGCAAUGCUGGUGGAAACCACAUGAGUGACUGUGGUUCAGAUCCUCAGGAAGACCUAAAAAUAUGUUGGAUGCAUGCAUACAGGCCCAUAAAUUUUGAGAGCUGAAGGACUUGGGAAAGGGAAUCACUAUCUGCUGAGAUUCUGUGAAGGGUUUCUCUUUCUCACACAUAUAAGCAAUCAACAAUAUCUACCCUGUAUGAAAUAAAAAAGAAAAAGAAGAAAGAAAAUGGAAGACCUUCAGCGUUAAAACUCAACUUCCUACAGGCUAGUCCAAUUGCAGCCCUCCUUUGACAGACAGUAUGUCACACUGGACAGUGCAAAUAUGUCUACAGGUACUGGGGAGCUGAAACGCUUUGCAGAACCUCCUUUGUCCUCUUCUGAGACCCCUUGUCACUGCUGUACUUGGAAGUCAAGCAAGGCUCUGCUUUUGGCAUUCAUGAGGUUUGUGUAUUAACUCUG